UGCGAGAAGUCUUUUGCUUGCAUUAGACGGAAAGCGGCGAAAGGGAGAGUAACGCGUGGAUACCUGCCUCCAGGUUCGGGAUAGCUGCGGGAAACUGCAGGUAAUACCGAAUAAUAUCCCCGGAUCAAAGGUGAGAUUCCGCCUGGAGAUGGAUCCGCGUCCUAUUAGCUUGUUGGUGGGGUAACGGCCUACCAAGGCGACGAUGGGUACCGGGCGUGAGAGCGUGACCCGGCUCACUGGGACUGAGACACUGCCCAGACACCUACGGGUGGCUGCAGUCGAGAAUCUUCGGCAAUGGGCGCAAGCCUGACCGAGCGACGCCGCGUGCGGGAUGAAGGCCCUCGGGUUGUAAACCGCUGUCAGUUGGGAGGAAAUCAUAUGGGGUUCUCUCCAUGUGUUGACCUAUCUUCAGAGGAAGGACGGGCUAAGUUCGUGCCAGCAGCCGCGGUAAGACGAACCGUCCAAACGUUAUUCGGAAUCACUGGGCUUAAAGGGUGCGUAGGCGGCUCUGCAAGUUGGGUGUGAAAUCCCUCGGCUCAACCGAGGAAUUGCGCCCAAAACUGCCGGGCUCGAGGAAGACAGAGGUGAGUGGAACUUGUGGUGGAGCGGUGAAAUGCGUUGAUAUCACAAGGAACACCGGUGGCGAAAGCGGCUCACUGGGUCUUUUCUGACGCUGAGGCACGAAAGCUGGGGGAGCGAACGGGAUUAGAUACCCCGGUAGUCCCAGCUGUAAACGUUGAGCACUAGAUCGAAAGGGUCCUCCAUAGCCUUUCGGUCGUAGCGAAAGUGUUAAGUGCUCCG
rnacentral:rRNA from 1 species